GCGUUCGCAGGCCUCAAGUCUGUCCCCACUGGUCGCUCUGCUCGGGGAAGUCAGCCCCGAGGCACAAGGCCGGGUUGAGGGGUGGGGACCCGCUCUCUCUAAGCUGGGGAAACACCUAGUGUCAUCGACCCUUUCCUUCCAAGGGCGCUGAACAACACACCAUGACUCAAAUGGAUACUAAAAAGCCAAGGAAACAGAGUUUGACUGCCUUACCAAUGCUGAAAAUGAGAAAGAAAGAAAAUUUCACCUCUGGGAAGAUACUGAGUGUAUGCUUGUUUCAGAUGUUGUUCUAGGUGUUGGGGACACACUGAGAAAUGAAACAGACCAACAAAUUCUUCUUUGUAGGAAGAAAUGAUGUUUUGAUUGGAUGCUGAAAAUUAUAAACCCCAGGCCUCCUUUCUCUGGUAGCAAAGCAUUGGAACCGAGUAAACCAGUGGUUUCAGCCUUGGCCAUGCAUUUUGAAUCGUGCAGGGAAGUUUUAAAGACUGUUGAAAUCAGAGUCUCUAGGUGUGGUGCACAAUUUUUAGAAGUUAUUUUCCACCAUGUGGGGACAGAUCCUGACUUAAAUGCCAGCUGUGAGGCCUUGACUAGGUUAGGUCUCUGACUGUGGGCCAGGGCACUGCAGCAGCCUUAGCUCCCUCGUGGCAGUGGUAAGGAGGUAAGAGAAAGUGGCAGAGCUUGGAAGGCCGAUAAAUGUGCUUUUCCCACCAGGGGAGGUGGUGCACAUCCAUAAUCCCAGCACUUGGGAGACUGACACAAGAGGGUUACAAGUCUGAACCACCCUGGGCAACUUGGUGAUUUAGAGACCCUGUCCCCAAAGGGCUGGGAUGUAGCUCAGUGCAAAGGCCCUGGGUUCAAUCCCCAGUACCUAAAAGGAAGGAAGGAAGAAAGAAGAAAAAAGAAAUGUUUUUACCUUCCUUUCUCUCCCCAAUAAGAGAUUGAGCACAGUGCCUGAACCAACAGGGGCUUUGUUUUAUGAGACGGUGAAUAACUGAGCCUCAUGCAUUAAAGAAGGUAUCUGAGGUCACUCAUUCAGUCUCAUUUCAGCAAUAUAGACAAAGAAAUCAAUCAAAACAAAGCCCCAUCCAACCAUUUGGUAUUACAAAGGAAUGGAGGCACAGUCAAACCUGAGGAGAGAGCAGAAAGCAGAGGUUACAGUUGCCAUUUGUGUCUAGGUUUUAGGGUGGCACCUAUUUGUGGUAGUGAAUUCACCUGUUAAAUGUAAAUGACAGAUUAAGAGUUAACGAAUUCCUGAUGAUUGCAGUCCUAAAACAUUUAAAAUAUAACCAGGAGCAGCCAAUUUGCAUUUGAAUGAUAAGACUGAAGUUCCUAUAUUUAUUGACCAUUUGUGUUUCUUCUUUAAAAUGCCUGAUCUGGGCCAGGGAUUUAGCUCAGUGGCUCUGCACCUGCCUUGCAAGCACAAGGUCCUGAGUUCAAUCCCCGGUACCAAAAAAAAGAAAAGAAAGAAAGAAAAACGCCUGGUCUGGUCAUGUCUUUAUUGUGUAAAUAUUUUUCUAUGGCAUUGUCAUCUUCUUAUUGAUUUGCAAAGUAUUUUGUAUACUCUGUAUACUAAUGCUGUGAGAAUUGUAUAUGCUGUAAAUUAUCUUCUAGAGUGUUAGCGUGUCUGUUUUUAUGUCCUGAAUUUUUUUUAGAGCAGUUGACUUUUGUAUAUGAAUCUUAUAU